rnacentral:rRNA from 1 species
AACCGCGGUUAUACGAGAGGCCCAAGUUGAUAGGGAUCGGCGUAAAGGGUGGUUAGGGGUUAUUAUAAAAUAAAGCCGAAUGUCCUCAACGCUGUCAAAAGCCCCCGAGAACUUGAAGCCCCACCACGAAAGUGGCUUUACCCCACCCCGAACCCACGAAAGCCAGGGUA